rnacentral:tmRNA from 1 species
GGGGACGUUUAUGGAUUCGACAGGGGUCCCCAGAGCUCAUUAAGCGUGUCGGAGGGUUGUCUCCGCAACAACACACACAGUUUAUAAUAACUGGCAAAGAAAACAACAAUUUCGCAGUAGCUGCCUAAUCGCACUCUGCAUCGCCUAACAGUGUCGCCUAUGCACUGUUAACGCGAUUCAACCUUAGUAGGCUACGCUAAGCACUGCCGUUUGAAGUCUGCUUAGAAGAGAUCUAAUCAAACUAGCGUAAUGUUGGUUGUCUAUUACCUCUCAUUACGCGAAAUUGAUUAAUAGACUACACACGUAGAAAGAUGUGUAUCAGGACCUUUGGACGCGGGUUCAACUCCCGCCGUCUCCACUA